UACGUAGGUGACCAGCGUUGUCCGGAUUUACUGGGCGUAAAGAGCGCGCAGGCGGUCGUUCAAGUCGAGUGUGAAAGCCCCCGGCUCAACUGGGGAGGGUCACUCGAUACUGAUCGACUUGAAGGCAGGAGAGGGAAGCGGAAUUCCCGGUGUAGUGGUGAAAUGCGUUGAUAUUGGAAGGAACGCCGGAGGCGAAAGCGACGCACUGGACCUCUUCUGACGCUGAGGCGCGAAAGCUAGGGGAGCAAACGGG
rnacentral:rRNA from 1 species